CGGGGGUGAGUAAUGUCUGGGAAACUGCCUGAUGGAGGGGGAUAACUGCUGGAAACGGUAGCUAAUACCGCAUAACGUCGCAAGACCAAAGAGGGGGACCUUCGGGCCUCUUGCCAUCGGAUGUGCCCAGAUGGGAUUAGCUAGUAGGUGGGGUAACGGCUCACCUAGGCGACGAUCCCUAGCUGGUCUGAGAGGAUGACCAGCCACACUGGAACUGAGACACGGUCCAG
rnacentral:rRNA from 1 species